AGUUGGCUGCAGGAUACUGGAGGAAGUGGGUGAUUGUGUCUCGUUCUUGGCAGUAGUACCGGUUUAAGGAGCAGGGCGACAAGACAAGCGAUGCACCGGAGGGAAGCGGUAGGGGUGGAGGUGAAGAACUGCCGCCGCCAUCGGAGUAGCGGUAGCGGUGGAGGUGAAGAACUGCCGCCGCCGGAGUCUCCGUAACCAUCACUGGAGGGGAAACAAAUACGGACUCUACAAGACAGGCCUGCGUUAUAUAUAACCCCGCUACCGGAGGACUACGGGAGACUAGGACGCAAAGGAAGACUCGAGCACUAGAGAUGAACCUAGGAAGGCAGGCGUCCAAUAAUAAAAAGAAAGGAUUGUAAUAAAGAACCUAGGAAUACAGGCGUCCAGUAAUAAAAAGAAAGGUUGUAA